rnacentral:lncRNA from 1 species
AAUGAGCAAAAUAAAUAACCAUACAGGGCAUGAGUUUUGGUUACAAAAUCACAUGUUUAGGAGCAGUUAUUUGGGAAUGAAGAUAAAACAGAACGGUAUUAUAAUACCAAAACAUUCUACCCUAUUACUUCAAUUUGGAGAAUAGCUUUGGUGCAACCUGCAUUGCAAGAUUAUAAUUUAUCAGGGAAUACAAAAGAAAAUCAAGUAGCUAAAUGGUUAUUAACAAACUAAACAUCAAUACUUACACAUUUGUCAACACAAUACCAAUAAUCGAAAUAUUGUCCAGUGCAGUGUUUCUGCCCAGAAUCAUCACCAUGUAUCCUUUUCAUGCAUGCAUGUAGCAAUUUAGAGAAUUACUUUUCUUUGCAAGAGCUUCUUUCAUAAACAAAAAUAAGGCGGCGGAACAAAUAUUUACCAACACUUAUUCUUUAUUUUAAAUUUGUCUAGGCAUAACAAUUGGAGUGGCUAUCUUAUGAGUUUGAGUGGAAUCAGCCAAAAUGUAAGAUAAGACAACCUGCAAUAGACACAAAUUGGGCCUACCCUUCCCCAGACCCACAAUAGAGCUUCUCUAUAUUUUGUCCAUUAAUACUCACUCAGGGUAUCAAUUUAGCUAAACAAGUCAGAACCUACGGUUUUCCCACUAAUUUCAUACAAUGUUGGUUCUCUCAACUCAAAAGAAGGAAGGGGAUGUAAAACGCAACCCCUGCUCAAAAUUAACUUCAAUUCAACACACAGCUGAUACCAUCGUCUCUCCAUCCAUAUACAUAGGAAACCCAAAUAAAUCAAAUAUGUACAUGUUGGUUUGGUUCGGUUUUACACUAUUAAUGUGACUGGACCCGAACCAAGCUAACCUGAUGAAAUACGGGUUCAUUAGGUUUAGGUGGUCGGUUCAGCUUUUAAAGAAAAAACAGAAGAGAAUUGCAAUUUUUCCCCAUAACUCAACCUCUCUACUGCAUCUAUCCCAAACCAGAGAGAAAUAGAGAGAGAGACCAUAAAAAUCUACCAUAAUCUCUGACAUCCAAAGGCCAAAUUUCCACAACACCGCCCCCCAAAAAACCCACUUUCUGCUACUCACAAGCCGUGACUUCCAUAGCCACCCAUCCAAGACAGAAUAGAACAACUAAGUUGUAAAAAACGUGGUUGCAUGGGACUAGGACAGACAGAGAAGGAGAGGCAGUGUGGGAUGUUUGGAGAACGCAUGUGCAAUGAAGGGAAGGCCACAUUCAGAGGCGGAGCCCCUCAUGGGCCAUGGCCCACCCCCAAAAAACAAAUUCUUAUUAUAUAUUAUGUUUUGUAAUAUUACAAUGUUUUGUAGCAUGCUGUAGUGGUUAAGAGCCUUUUUGCCAAGUCUUAUGUGCUAGGUUCAACUCCUGCUAAAGUCAUUUUCAUUUAGUCUUUUAUUUUCUUUUGUAUAAAAAAAAAAAAAAAAAAAAACAUAAUUCAUAAUUGUUAAAAUCAUCCUUCUUUCUUUAAUAAAACAUAACUCCUUUAUUCAAUUUAAUAUAAUCUUCCUUACUCUUAUUCUUGGGUACAACUGUCUCCUUACUCUUUUUUUUUAUACAAAGGGACUUCAACUCUUUUUUUGUCAAAAAAAUUCUCUUUUAAAACACAUAACAUAUUUUUUAUAUAAAAGAGGACCUCAACUAUCUUUUAUAACGCAUAAAAUAUAACAUAAAUGUUAAAAUAUCCUUAAAAAACAUGAUAUCAUAAAAAUAUUUAAUUGUAUAAACACUAUUUUUUAGGUAAAAAAAUACUAUAUUCUUUAUUAAAUUAAAAUAUAUUUCAUUAUUGUACUUGAUUAUAAGUAUAUUUUCUUAUGUAAUGAUUUUUUUUACAUUACUAUAUAUGUCAUGAGUUUUAUUUUAACUUUUUUUUUUACUCAUUUGUUUGAUUCAAUUCGAUUUAAUACCUAUACAUCUGUUUAUUGAAGUAGAGUCAUUUAAUUCAGUCAUUAGGUUCAAUGACCUAGUUGUUCGAUCAAUUAUCUUGUACUUUAUCUGGGUUGAUAAACGGCUCAGAUUUUAGAAUACUGGUUUGAAUUAUAUUCAACAAAUAAUAACAAAUUUGUAGUCAUACUAGCCUUGUUUAUAUCACGAUCCAUUAAGUCAGAUUUCCAACAGAAUAUAGAAAACACUCUCACACGGACAUAAUCAAUCUACCUGCAUUUUCAAUUUAUUCCCUCAAUAUUUUCUCAAGGUUCAAUUUAGCCCCGGACAAAAGGACUAAUUUUUAUCCCGAAUUUGAAAACGUCAGGGACUAGUUUGGUAUUAUUUUUUGUCUGAGUAAAUUGGGCCGCAACAAAAUUGGGUCUUUAAUCUUAAGGAAAGGCAGUAAGAAGUUAGACUGUAAUAAAAGUUUAGUUUCAUCACUAUCUAGCCAGAUGAUUCCUAAAACAUUACCUUCGCUACAUUGAAUUUCUUUGUUUGACCUUAAUGCUACUAUUUCUCCGAUCAUAUUUUUCUUUGAAUAAACCAUAUCUUAAUAAAUUUUACGAAUGUAAAAGUGAUGAUAUAUUAGUGAAUAAAAAUUUAGAAACCUGAUAUUCAAUCAACGGCCUGACACAUUUUGGUUUGCAAGAGUCUUCAAAAAAUCUCUUCUGAUCAACAGGUUCCUCGUCAGCCCUGAAUUCACAAUAAAAUCCAAACAUACCUUAAUACAAAGAAUAAUAAUAAAAUAAAAUAAAAUAAAAGCAUAUACACGUUAAACAAGGGGUGUCAAAAUGAUUAAAUGAAAUUCAUAAUAAUUUUUUCCUAGAUUAAUAUUCACUAAAUCAACAACAAGCACAUAAUCAGACAGAUUCAGA